rnacentral:rRNA from 1 species
GUAGGGAAUAUUGGGCAAUGGAUGCAAGUCUGACCCAGCCAUCCCGCGUGCCGGAAGAAGGCCCUCAGGGUUGUAAACGGCUUUUGACGGUGAAGAAUCGACAGGAUGCGUCCUGUUUUGACGGUAGCCGUUGAAUAAGCACCGGCUAACUCCGUGCCAGCAGCCGCGGUAAUACGGAGGGUGCGAGAGUUGUCCGGAUUUAUUGGGUUUAAAGGGUGCGUAGGCUGGAAGGUCAGUCAGCGGUGAAAAGCUGUCGCUUAACGAUAGUCUUGCCGCAGAUACUUCCUUUCUUGGAUGAGGAGGAGGCCACUGGAACGGAUGGUGUAGCGGUGAAAUGCAUAGAUAUCAUCCAGAACACCGAUUGCGAAGGCAGGUGGCUGUACCUUAAUCGACGCUGAUGCACGAAAGCAUGGGGAGCAAACAGGAUUAGAAACCCUGGUAGUCC